rnacentral:pre_miRNA from 1 species
UGGCCAGACUACCUUACAAAUAACCACGUUUUUUUUUAAACCUUCCAUUAUAGGUUUCAAACUGAACGUGGUUAUUUGUAAGGUAGUCUGGCC